rnacentral:sRNA from 1 species
AUUUUGCAAUGGCGUGAAGGAUCGCAGUGAAAAUCCUCCCUUUUUUUGGGAGAUUGUAACGUAGAGCCUGAUUCGCC